CUACGGGAGGCAGCAGUGAGGAAUAUUGGACAAUGGUCGAAAGACUGAUCCAGCCAUGCCGCGUGCAGGAUGAAUGCCCUAUGGGUUGUAAACUGCUUUUAUACGGGAAGAACACCACCCACGUGUGGGUGACUGACGGUACCGUAAGAAUAAGGACCGGCUAACUCCGUGCCAGCAGCCGCGGUAAUACGGAGGGUGCAAGCGUUAUCCGGAUUUAUUGGGUUUAAAGGGUCCGUAGGUGGACCAUUAAGUCAGAGGUGAAAGCCCACGGCUCAACCGUGGAGGGUCAUUGGAAACUGGGAGACUUGAGUGCAGAAGAGGAAAGUGGAAUUCCAUGUGUAGCGGUGAAAUGCGUAGAGAUAUGGAGGAACACCAGUGGCGAAGGCGACUUUCUGGUCUGUACUGACACUGAGGUGCGAAAGCGUGGGUAGCGAACAGGAUUAGAUACCCUGGUAGUCCACGCCGUAAACGAUGACAACCAGCUGUUGGGAAGCAAUGCUUUUCAGUGGCGCAGCUAACGUCUUAAGUUGUCCGCCUGGGGAGUACGGCCGCAAGGUUAAAACUCAAAU
rnacentral:rRNA from 1 species